rnacentral:misc_RNA from 1 species
GUGAAACCAAGCAUCCUAGGCUUCCAGCCUGCAUUACAAAAUUGUUGUCUUCAAGCUACAACUUUAUCUGCCUCAGAUACAUGAUCUUCAACCUUGUCAAAAUCGAAACUCUUAGCAACAUCAAAGAAGUGAGCUACGGCUUCUUCAGGCGUACCCACGAGCACACCGUGGCCAAGAUUGAGGAUGUGACCACUACUCCCUGCACUCUUGACAACCCUUUU